GCUAUAUCUGGCUGGUCAGCUACAAGAUUUAAAUAUUAAAUAUAACAAAUUGAAAGAUAAUCAUACAAUAUGUUGAUACUGAAGCUAAAUUACUUUGGACAAUGUCACUAUGUUGUAGGCAGUAUCAUACAAUGCAUCAGUGAUUAAUUACCAGCAUUGAAAGAUAUUAAUUCCAGACUUCUAUAAUCAUUGCAUUGUUGUUAAUAGAAUCUGUGGAUUGUGCCAGUGAUUGCUUCGACAUUAGGUAUGCAGACAGAAAUGUUUGGCAUUAAUGAUAGAUUUUGUGAAAAUUACUUUAGUAUUCUUUUUGUUGGCUUACAUUAGCUGUAAUUAAGCACUAGAAUUAAAACUUACAUUCCAUUAUCACAGUUUAUAUUUUAUUAAAGGAAGCGCAUCUUGGAGAAACGAAUAAGCCAGUUACAACUUGGACACUUGGCAUGAACCUUGAGGUCAGCAAAAUACUACAGAAGCUGCAUUUCCCCUACCAAAUGCAGAGCUGAUGCUGACAGGUUCUGGGAUCCAAUGAGCAUGCCAGAAGUCUGAGUGAUGGGCUGCUGUGGAACUUCCAAGUUCACACAUGACUGCCAUAACCUGCUGGAUGGGAAAAACUGCUGUCAUUCUGCCACCAAUAGCCCGUGAUAAUCUUCAUGCUAUAAGACUUCAAUUGCAGAACUGCAGCACCUUGCAUAACAGCCUCCAGAGAAGGAAACACAGCCAAGUCAAGGAAGCCGAUGGACCAUAUAAGGGGCUCACUUCCAGCAGCCAGAUUGGCUCUGACUAACUGAGUGACCUUCAGCAUCUCUCCUUCUCUUAGAUGUCUCCCUCCUCCUGGGUAUAUGAAUCCUGAGACCUGAAGGCUUCACCAAUAACACUUUGUUGCCAUAAUAAUGCCAAUCAUACCUUCCUAUGGGAGUCAUCUAUUUCUCUCAAGGAUCUGGCCAUCAAUUGCAGAUUAACUGGGG